AUGAGUCUUAAUCAGUGUGUCGCUCCCUCGAGACGCAUCAUCUCUCCGUUUACUUCCUCUGUGGACGAGAGAGAUAGGGGGGAGGGGGGAGGAGGAGGGAAGGAGGGAGGGAGACGAGGAGGGAGGAGAGAGAGGAGGAGGGAGGAGAGAGGAGGGAGGAGGAGGAGGAGGAGGAGGAGGGAGGGAGGAGGGAGGGAGGGAGGGAGGGAGGGAGGAGGAGGGAGGAGGAGGAGGAGAGGAGGAGGAGGAGGAGGGAGGGAGGAGGAGGAGAGGAGGAGGAGGGAGGGAGGAGGAGGAGGAGGAGAGGGAGGAGGAGGGAGAGGAGGGAGGGAGGAGGAGGGAGAGGGGAGGGGAGAGAGGGAGGAGGAGGAGGAGGAGAGGAGGAGGAGGAGGGAGGAGGAGAGGAGGAGGAGGAGGAGAGGAGGAGGGAGGAGGGAGGAGAGGAGGGAGGAGAGGAGGAGGAGGAGGGAGGAGGGAGGAGAGAGGAGGGAGGAGGAGGGAGGGAGGGAGGAGGAGGAGGAGGAGGAGGGAGGAGGAGGAGGAGGAGGAGAGGAGGAGGAGGAGGAGGAGGAGAGGAGGGAGGGAGGAGGGAGGAGGGAGAGAGGGAGGGAGGAGGAGGAGGGAGGAGGAGGAGAGGAGGAGGAGGGAGGAGGAGAGGAGAGGAGAGGAGGAGGAGAGGAGGAGGGAGAGGAGGAGGGAGGGAGACGAGGAGGGAGGAGAGAGGGAGGAGGAGGAGGAGGGAGGAGAGAGGAGGAGGGAGGGAGAGAGGAGGGAGGAGAGAGGAGGAGGGAGGAGAGAGGAGGGAGAGGAGGGAGGAGGAGAGAGGAGGAGGGAGGAGGAGAGAGGAGGAGGGGGGGGAGAGGAGGAGGGAGGGAGACGAGGAGGAGGGGGGAAGAGAGGAGGGAGGAGGAGAGAGGAGGAGGAGAGAGAGGAGGAGGGAGGGAGGAGGGAGGAGGAGAGAGGGAGGGAGGGAGACGAGGAGGGAGGGAGAGAGAGGGAGGAGGGAGAGAGGAGGAGGGAGAGAGGAGGAGGGAGGAGAGAAGGGAGAAGGGAGGGAGGAGGAGGAGGAGGAGGGAGGGAGAGAGGAGGAGGAGGGAGGGAGACGAGGAGGGAGGAGGGAGAGGAGGGAGGAGAGAGAGGGAGGAGGAAGAGAGGAAGGAGGAGAGGAGGAGGGAAGAGAAAAGGAGAGAAAGGAGGAGGAAGGAGAGAGGAGGAGGAGGAGAGAGAGGAAAGGAGAGAAGGAGGGGGAAGAGAGAGAGGAAGAGAGGAAAAGGGGGAAAAGGAAGAAGAGAGGAGGGAGGGAGGAGAGAGGGGGGGAGAGGAGGAGGGAGGGAGAGGAGGAGGAGGAGGAGAAGAGGAGGAGGGAGGAGAGAGACGAGGAGGGAGGGAGACGAGGAGGGAAGAGGGAGGGAAGAAAAAAAAAGGGGGGAGAGAAGAGAGGGAGGGAGGGAGGGGGAGGAGGGAGAGAGAGAGAGGGAGAGGAGAGAGAGAGAGGGGGAGAGAAAGAAAGGGGGAAAAAAGGAGGAAGGAGAGGAGGAGGAGAGAGGAAAGGAGAGGAGGGAGGAGGAGGGAAAGGAGGAAGGGAAGAGGAGGAAGGAGGAGAAGGAGGAGGAGAGAAGGAGGAAGGAGGGAGGAGGAGGAAGGAGGAGGAGGAGGAGAGGAGAGGAGAGAGGAGGAGAGAAAGAGAGAGAAGGAGGAGGGAGAGAGAGAGGAGAGAGGGAGGGAGGGAGAGGAGGAGGAAGAGAAAAGGAGGAGAGGAGGAGGAGGAGGAGGAAGGAGGGGGAGGGGGAAGGGGGAAAGAGAGGAGGGGGAGGAAGGAGGAGGAGGAGGAGGAGGAGGAGGAGGAGGAGGAGGAGGAGGAGGAGGAGGAGGAGGAGGAGGAGGAGGAGGAGGAGGAGGAGGAGGAGGAGGAGGAGGAGGAGGAGGAGGAGGAGAAGGAGGAGGAGGAGAGAGAAGGAGGAGAGAAGGAAAAAAAAAAAAGAAAAGAAGAGAGAGAGGAGGAGGAGGAGGAGGAGGAGGAGGAGGAGGAGGAGGAGGAGGAGGAGGAGGAGGAGGAGGAAGGAGGAGGAGGAGAGAGAGAGAGAGGAGAGGAGGAGGAGGAAGGAGGAGGAGGAGGAAAAAAGGGAGGAGGAGGAGAGAGAGGAGAGAGAAGAGAGAAGGGGGGAAAAGGAGGGAGGGAGAGAGGAGGAGGGGGAGGGAGGGAGGAGAGGAGGGGGGGAGGAAGGGGGGGGAAGGGGGAAG
rnacentral:lncRNA from 1 species